ensembl:lncRNA
AGAGCCUGAGAGAGGCAACAGAGAAUAGAGGUUUGUCUUCAUACAGCUUCCAGUGCUGGUGUGAAAUUGUGCCGCUUUGUGCACUCACAGCUGAGCAGAGGCAGAGCCUGCGGAAACGAGCAGACGUCAGUCAGCCCAGUGCGCUGUUAGCCACGAAAGUCCUCAGCACAAUGAUGUGGUGAGGCCGUGAUCUCGGAGAGACAGAAAAUGAGAUGGAUGCUUCAGAUGGAUCAGGAGGAAAUGCUGAAUCGUAAAGGUUUGUGUGGCCACCUGCCUCGGAGCAGAAGGAAGGCUGCCCUCCUCCUACAUCUGACCACUGACAUUAGGCUUGCGGGGCUGCAUGACCCAGCAGAGAGACCUCAUCCGCCAGCAGGGAAGUAACAUGCCC